rnacentral:lncRNA from 1 species
GGCUUUGCCCGGUGUUACCCGCCUCCUCCUCCACGUCGUCUUGCCCUGGGCCCCACCCACUCACACUGCUAGAGACCCAACUCUGAAGGCCCAAGUUGGGGGAGAGCCCUCCAGGUGGAGGGAACAGCAUGGCCCUGGGGCCAGCAGCCCUCAGUGGCUGCGCACAGAGGGAGAGGAGGGCAGAGAUGAGAAUGUGACAGAUGGCAUCGCUGGUGGUGCCAUCAGCACUGACUUGAUGGAGGACUGUGCACGGGCAACCUCGGCGUCACUGAGCUCGCUUCCCUCGUGUGUCAAGUGGGAAGGACAAUGCCUGCCUCAGUGGGUUGUCGCAGUGGCAUUCCCAGUACUUGGUUUCAUGUACUGUGCACUUGGUAGAACAGUAACUCAAUCAAUAGCCCACCUUUCUGUCGCGCUUGAGCUGGGGAUCUGCAGCUCCUUCUGUAGACUGGUCCCCAGAGGCCUGUCCCCAGCUCUGGAGCGGGCAUCCCCGACCCUCACCCAGGAGCCCAGAGCCCAGCUCCAUAGCAGAUGAGCGGGUGGGCAUGCCGAGGGUCCGGGGCACCGGCGAUUCUGGAGGCCUUCCUUCAACCAGGCUUCGUGAACAUGCCAAGUAGAGAAUUUGAGAGGCAGGGGUGACCAGCCGGCCGAUUGUGCCUUCCAGGACCCUCAGGCCAGCGCUUACAGCAAGUGGGCAUCUCUGCCUCCUGGGCUGGUGGAACCCCUCCAGGCCACAGUCUCUUGCUAGUGGCCUUAGACGGAGGUCAGGAUGAGAAGGAAGCAGGCUGGCAAAGAGCAGGCGAAGGGAGAGCCCGCGUUUAGGACCAGGACUCCUUCCCCUGCUCCCCCCUGUUCUGCCCACCAUAACUGUAGGGACUCGGUGGUACAGUGGGUGGCAUCUCAGCUCUGCCGCUUAGGAGCUGUGUGACCUUGGCAAGCUAUGUAUCAUCUCCGUGCCUCAGUUUCCUCAUUUGUCAAAUGGGAAUAAUUGUACCUACAUCAUAGGUUUUAGGAAAGUUUGAGUUAAACUUUGUAAUGGAGUUCCCGUCGUAGCUCAGUGGUAACAGACCCGACUAGGAUCCAUGAGGACACGGGCUGGAUCCCUAGCCUCGCUCAGUGGGUUAAGGAUCUGGCGUGGCUGUGGCUAUGGCAUAGGCCAGCGGCUACAGCUCCAAUUCGACCCCUAGCCUGGGAACUUCCACAUGCCUCGGGUGUGCCCCCCCCCCAAAAAAAAAGACAAACCCAAACAAACUCUGUAAGGCACUCAGAACUUGGCCUGGCACAGGGUCAACAAUCAGCGGUCAGUACAGGUGCUGUUCUCUUGGCCUGAAGCAUUCUUUUGCCUGAUACACAGUAGGAGCUUCAUAAAGAAAUCCUGAUUGUGUCUAAGGGUGAUGAGCUGAAUUCUGGUGCAGGGUGUGUGUGUGUGUGUGUAAAGAAAUCCUGAUUGUGUCUAAGGAUGAUGAGCUGAAUUCUGGUGGUGUGUGUGUAAAGAAAUCCUGAUUGUGUCUAAGGGUGAUGAGCUGAAUUCUGGUGCUGUGUGUGUGUGUGUGCGCGUGUGCGCUGGGGGGCGGGGCUUCUCCCGGGGCGCAGGGCCUGCCCGGGGGAGGUCUUCUUGGAAGGGCCUCUCGGGCCUCACAUGCUCCCCACCCCCAGGCUUGAGACCAGAGGAAGCAGCAACUUUCUUCGCUGGGAAAGUGUUGUGGGGCUCAAGCGUUUGGGGGUUUUCAGACUCAACCGUCAGAGGCGAGGGAGUUUCUCUGCUGGCGGCGGCGAGGGCUCUCAGGGUGCUCGCAGCCUGUGAGCGGACCUCUGCGGUCUGCAGGGAAAAUGCCGACUGUGUUUAUUUUUCACCUGAGCCUGCAGGAAGUGGGGGUGGGGAGGGCAGGCGGGAGCCACCCAGCCAGGCCCCAGCGCCACUGCUGCGCCCAGAAGACCCACCCCAGGCGUCCCUCGUUUCCACCGCCUCCUGCACCUCCAGCCCCGGGCGGGCGGGGCUGCCGCACGUCCCCCGAGCAUGAGGACCGCCUGGGGGCGACAGCAUUGGAACUGGCCUGGGCAAGGGCCGGAAAGCCGGCUCUGCUGAGGCGGCAGCGGACGUGGCCGUCCAGGACUCGGGUCCCGGAGUCCUGGACCCGUCCUGCGCAGGGGCUGCGGGGGCCCUCGAGUCUGUCACUCGUUGAGACACCCCCCAUGCUGGGAGCGCCCACUGAGGGCGCAGCACUGUGCUGGGCGCUCUGCCUUCGGAGGAGAGAGAGAUGGGGCGCUGCUGUCGAGAUGCUCGGGGACUGGUGCGGACGGUCAGGCCAGGCCUGCCCCCUUCCCUUGGAGGCUGGGCACAGUCCCCGUCAGGCGAGGCAAGCAGGGGAGCUCCGGUCACUGGGCUCCCCCUACACAGGCCAGGCCAGGCCCCAGGCAGCUCCACCCUGCCGUCUGGGCAGCCCAGCCCGGGGGCUGCCUCGUGCUGCUGAGGCCGUGGAGCGGGACGUUCCACUGGCUGGGGGGGCCCUUCCCGCAGGUUCUCAGCCUCCCCUCUGCCCACCUGGCCCCUGUCCUGCGGUUUGGCUGCAGACUGCAGUUGGAGACGCUUUGCCCCAGUCCUGAGAGAAGGCUGGUGGGAGGGAUGUCCCCCCUCCCCUACAUACAGGCCAGAGGCUGUAGGCUGAGAUUUCCUGGGUCUAGAAUGAGCUGGGCUAUAACUGGGGCCUAACAAGCCCGGCCAAGGAGGGUCAGCUGUAGCUGCCCCUCCAGGGAGAGGGUGCUCCAGGGCCUCCUGGCCCAAGCCAGUGCCCCCCAGGGUGGGGGUCUGCCGAGAAGGCUUCUCCCGGCUCUGGAGCAGACAUCCCCCAUGCCUUUGGUGGAGUAGGACACUGGCAUUGUCCUCCUAGAGUUGGCACGAUAGACCCCAGGCUCUGCCCGUAAGAGUUUCCAGGUUGAGAGCUCCCCCCUCCACCAGCCAGGCUGACAGCCAAGGGCCGAAAGGCCGGAGCCAAGGCUGGAUGGCAGGCCCUUCUCAGAAGCAGAAAUGUAGUUGCAAAGGCCCCUGAUCUGGAGAGACCUGUGGAGGCUGUUCAUUCCACCUGCUGCACCUGAGCACCAGGCACGUGUGCCCUUAGGUGGUGAAAGGUGAGAGGCCUUCCACCAGGGCCUGGUUUCUGAGGGAGUGCCUCGAGGCCUGGGAUCUGGCUGCCCCUGUCCUGGGAACCUCUCAAGGUAAAAAGCUCCCAGAAAGCUUUCCACCUUCAUAGGCUCUUGGUUCCUGCUACCCAAAAUUCUAGGAUAAAGUAGGAUUUUUGCCUCUGUGACCAGUGAGCCAGGCAGAGUUCUGUUUAUUAAGGCCUCACUUGUGGCAUACGGAGGUUCCCAGGCUAGGGGUCGAAUUGGAGCUGCAGCUGCUGGCCUACACCACAGCCACAGCAACUCGGAUCUGAGCUGAAUCUGCGACUUAUACCAUGGCUCACGGCAAUGCCGGAUCCUUAACCCUCUGAGUGAGGCUAGGGUUUGAACCUGCAUCCUCAAAGAGACUAUAUCAGGUUCUUAACCCAUUGAACUGUAAUGGGAACUCUGAGGCAGAGUUAAUAUGCCCAUUUUACAAGGGACAAACUGGCCCAGGAUCCUGUAGAGAGAAGGUCCAUGAAAAGGUCAGCAAGCCUAGAGCUGCACUUCCCAAUCCACUUCCCAUCUUGGCACACUUAAAAAUUACCACUGAGGAGUUCCCUUGUGGCACAGUGGGUUAAGGAUCUGGCACUGUCACUGCUCUUGGAUCCCUGGCCCAGGAACUGCCACAUGCCAUGAGUGUAGCAAAAAAUAAUAAUUAAAAUUAAAUAAAAUUGAUCUAGAAAUACAUAUUUUAAAAAAAAUGGGAGUUCCCAUCGUGGCACAGCGGAAAUGAAUCUGACUAGGAACCGUGAGGUUUUGGGUUCUAUCCCUGGCCUCGAUCAGCGGGUCAAGGAUCCGGCGUUGCUGUGAGCUGUGGUGUAGGUUGCAGACGUGGCUCGGAUCUGGCGUUGCUUUGGCUGUGCUGUAGGCCAGUGGCUACAGCUCUGAUUAGCCCCCUAGCCUGGAAACCUCCAUAUGCCGUGCCUGUGGCCCUAAAAAGACAAAAAGACC